GAUGAACGCUGGCGGCGUGCUUAACACAUGCAAGUCGAACGGGAAACCUUUUAUUGAAGCUUCGGCAGGUUUAGCGGGCUUCUAGGGGCGGCCGGGGGAGUAACGCGUGGGUAACCUGCCUUAUACAGGGGGAUAACAGUCAGAAAUGGCAGCUAAUACCGCAUAAGCGCACAGAGCUGCAUGGCUCGGUGGGAAAAGCUCCGGUGGCAUAAGAUGGACCCGCGUUGGGUUAGCUGGUUGGUGGGGUAACUGCCAACCAAGGCGACGAUGCAGGGCCGGGCUGAGAGGGUGAACGGCCACGUUGGGGCUGCGACACGGCCCAGACUCCUACGGGAGGCAGCAGUGGAGAAUAUUGCACACUGGGGGAUAACCUGAUGACGCGGCGCCGCGUGAAGGAAGAAGUAUGUCGGUAUGUAAACUUCUAUCAGCAGGGAAGAUAAUGACGGUACCUGACUAAGAAGCCCCGGCUAACUACGUG
rnacentral:rRNA from 1 species